UACGUAGGGGGCUAGCGUUGUCCGGAAUCAUUGGGCGUAAAGAGCGUGUAGGCGGCCCGGUAAGUCCGCUGUGAAAGUCGGGGGCUCAACCCUCGAAUGCCGGUGGAUACUGUCGGGCUAGAGUGCGGAAGAGGCGAGUGGAAUUCCUGGUGUAGCGGUGAAAUGCGCAGAUAUCAGGAGGAACACCGAUGGCGAAGGCAGCCUUCUGGGCCAACACUGACGCUCAUGCACGAAAGCGUGGGGAGCAAACAGG
rnacentral:rRNA from 1 species